UUCCCUGGGAUCCGAAAGGCCGCUCGAAGCUGCCGGAGAAGAAGAUGGUCCGUUGACAAGAGGAGAGCUGUGUUAAACGAGCAAAGUAACGUCACUUGAUCACAGUUGAAUUUCCAUCCAGGAACGGAUUGUCGUGUUUAGUCCAGAGUGUGGCUGAAAAUGAUCCUGACCGUGAAACCGCUCCAAGGCAAAGAAUGCAGCGUGCAGGUGACUGAAGAUGAGAAAGUCUACACAGUGAAAGAACUUGUGUCUGAACGUCUCAACAUACCAGCAAACCAGCAGCGGCUGCUCUAUAAAGGGAAAGCACUUGCAGAUGAACACAGACUUAGCGAUUACUCCAUUGGACCAGAGGCUAAAUUGAAUCUCGUGAUCCGCCCAGUGGGGGAGAGGACUGCAGCUUCAGGGAUGGCUUCCAGCAGCAGCAGCAGCAACAUACAUGGAGGGGUGUGGCAGACUGUGUCCAUGAUACUUGCAAGAAACUUCAGUCCAGCAGAUGCAGCAAAAGUCCAUGAACAGCUUAUUAAGACACAUUCAGUUAUGAACUGACGUUGAUGUCGCUAGCCUGCUUGGCUCCGCCUUGGAAGGACAUUACCUGCAACCUUUUCAGAUCAACUCAUAUCCCUCAUCUCCUAUUGUGCAUUACCACUGUCUGAAUGGGAGAUCUGAACACUUUUAUGUAGCGGUACUUAAAGGACUAUGAGCGUUCACUUCGACAACUAAGUCUGGAUGACAUUGAGCGCUUAGCGGGAAGACUCCUCCACCCAGACGGCGAGGGAAUGGAAACCUCGUACAUGGACUAAGAACGCCGAGUUGGAAGUUGCUUUUUGUGAUUGUGUUUCCAGAGGAGCUCUGUAAUCUAGAUGCAUAACGUGUUUAGAGUGUGUGAGGCAUGGAAAAAAAUGUGUUUUCUUGCACAGAGCCCCUGGUGUCUGCCUAAUCAGUGGCUAAGUGAACACAGAUAACACCGACUGUCUCCGCAACAGGGCUUUCCUAUCCAAGACCAAAAGAGCGGGAUAAGACCAAAGGGCUUUGAUAAGAAAAAAGUUGCCGCUUUGGAUUAAUCCUCGUCAUCGAUGUUGCAGUCGUGACACAAGGCCUGACCACAUAAUGUUUGCACACAAAGGAAUCCCUUCACGCUGUUGUUUCACAUGAUCUCAGGCUGCUACAACCCCCGGGGACACUCAUUUUUACUGGAGGCUAUUUAUUAGUAAUGUCUGUGUUGGAUGAUGAUUGCUGGGUGUCUUCUGUUAAUCAUUUACGCGAACUGCAAAGGUAAUAACAUGUUUUAUCCCAUUAAUAACAGAUUGUCAUUGUAUGAUUUGUAAAUAUGUUUAUAUAUAUAUAUAUACACAUACAUUAAAACUGAAAUAAUA